rnacentral:lncRNA from 1 species
UUCAACGCCUUUAGAACAAUGGCAGUCACAUAGUAGGUACUCAAUGUUUGGAGUACGAAUAAUGUACUCUUAUUAUUCAAAGACCAGCUAGAAAGUUACCUUCUUUGAGGGGUCUUCCUGAUAGUUACAGUGACAAGGAGACUUAAUCGCCCCCAAACACUUACCACUUUACACUGCUUGGUUGUCUCCACUACACAACUAAUUCCCCGAGGGGAAGGAUCUUGAAUAACUGAUCUUUGUUGCAGGCGGCUAGUACAGUACCCAGAUCAUAGAGGGAACUCAGAAUCUGAUGCUGGCACUUGUAAUCAGAAAGUCUGGGCUGAGAUCCCAGUAUCUUCACUGACUGGCUUUGUGAUCUCAGGCUGGUCACUUAGCAUUUCGAACGCCGGGCUACCUACCCCGCCCACCCCAUGAGCGAACAGUGUUGCUGCCCCAAAGCGCCGAAUAGAUCGCAGAACGUAGUGGGAAAGUAAGGGACCAUUAUGAUCUGUACCCCACCCCGACGCACGCCAAGCGGCCUUUUCCCCAUUUGUGGCCAAAUUUCCCGGCAUGGGGAAGGAGUCUUAGGGGAAGCACCCGGGACCUCCUUGGCUUCUUCUGGGAGUCUAGUUUCACCUAUUUCGUUUCGCCAACAGGCGAGACGGGCAAGACUUCGGGCUCAGCUGCCACCAUCAGAACUGACCUGUCCAUGGCUAAAGCCUUUUCCACACACAACCAACGUUGGCUGCAGUUUAGCUACCGCGUUUUAGCCUUCCCGCUCUCCGGAAGCAAGCCCUUCGACCCGGAAGCAGUCUGUCCCUAAAACAGACCCACAGAAAAGGGGUUCAGGUUCUCCAUGCGAUAUAUGGUUCCACAAUCCUCAGCGUGUUAACUGAAGCCUUGUUGAGUUUAACAAAGCUGCCAUUGAAGAUCUGGGGAAAGUGAAGAAGUUGCAACAGAGUUUUGGGCUCACACCAUUGAUACAUUUGAUCCUUAAGGCCCACCCCGCCUCACUCCCACCCUCUUCUACUUAAUUCAGGAUGUGAAUAGCACAUGCCUUCCAUCUUCAGACAAACACUGAGGCCUGGACAAUGACCUGCAUUAGGUAGAUAGAAUCUACUGAAAGCUAAAAGCCUUUUCCUGUGUCUUAGCAGCACGGAAGCCACGCCUCCUUCCCCCCAGUGUUUGUGCAAGCCCUAGAGAAGAGGAGACAGCCCCUGUGAUGUGUGAGGUUGAAUUUCCUGCCCUCAACCCAUCAAAUCAGGCAGAAUGAGGGCUCAGUCAGAACUACAACUACAAAAGAGAAAAAUUUUAAUGUGACUUUUCUUGUCUGCUCAGAUUUUUGGGUUAAGGUUCAUGCCAGCUACAUUCUUUGCAUAAUAAAAUAUAAAUAGAGUAUAAAUUGUUCUAUUUAGAGAAAACAGCAAAACAAUGCUCUCCCAAGGGCCCUAAUAAAUCACUCUCCAGAAA